GAGCGGGCGUAGCAAUACGUCAGCGGCAGACGGGUGAGUAACGCGUGGGAACGUACCUUUUGGUUCGGAACAACACAGGGAAACUUGUGCUAAUACCGGAUAAGCCCUUACGGGGAAAGAUUUAUCGCCGAAAGAUCGGCCCGCGUCUGAUUAGCUAGUUGGUGAGGUAAUGGCUCACCAAGGCGACGAUCAGUAGCUGGUCUGAGAGGAUGAUCAGCCACAUUGGGACUGAGACACGGCCCAAACUCCUACGGGAGGCAGCAGUGGGGAAUAUUGGACAAUGGGCGCAAGCCUGAUCCAGCCAUGCCGCGUGAGUGAUGAAGGCCCUAGGGUUGUAAAGCUCUUUCGAGUGGGACGAUGAUGACGGUACCACUAUAAGAAGCCCCGGCUAACUUCGUG
rnacentral:rRNA from 1 species